AGUUAAAUAUUUAUAAUUUGAAAUUAUAGGCUAGACUAUGAAUUAGUCUUUAACUU
rnacentral:tRNA from 1 species